rnacentral:rRNA from 1 species
GAUGAACGCUGGCGGCGUGCCUAAUACAUGCAAGUCGAGCGAACAGACGAGGAGCUUGCUCCUCUGACGUUAGCGGCGGACGGGUGAGUAACACGUGGAUAACCUACCUAUAAGACUGGGAUAACUUCGGGAAACCGGAGCUAAUACCGGAUAAUAUAUUGAACCGCAUGGUUCAAUAGUGAAAGACGGUUUUGCUGUCACUUAUAGAUGGAUCCGCGCCGCAUUAGCUAGUUGGUAAGGUAACGGCUUACCAAGGCAACGAUGCGUAGCCGACCUGAGAGGGUGAUCGGCCAGCCUGGAACUGAGACACGGUCCAGACUCCUACGGGAGGCAGCAGUAGGGAAUCUUCCGCAGUGGGCGAAAGCCUGACGGAGCAACGCCGCGUGAGUGAUGAAGGUCUUCGGAUCGUAAAACUCUGUUAUUAGGGAAGAACAAAUGUGUAAGUACCUAUGCACGUCUUGACGGUACCUAAUCAGAAAGCCACGGCUAACUACGUG